AAUGGACGUUGUCACAUACAGUACAUCUGGAGAUUAAUGUUGUUUAUCUGGCACACACAUGAAGAAUUGCAUCGGGAUAUUACCUGAGGCUGAUGGUGCUGAUGUUGUGUCUUCAGUUCGUUGGACGUUUCUUUAUGCCUGUGAUCGUUUGGGUGUCGCUGGCGUAUAUUGGAUGCAAGUUGCUGGAGUUGUUGCCAUACCUUCAAUUUGUCGGCCGUCUUGUGUGUUUGAUCUUCCCGACAUCAUGAAAAAGUAGCUAUUGAGAAAGUGCAUCAUGGGUCAUUUAUGAAUGUCUGUCUUGUAAAAUUAUGGUUGAAUGAUGUUUAUGUGAUAUAAGCAGAGGGAUGAGUGUAUGUGAC